GGAUCUGCCCCUGGCACUGACCCAGCGAGCUCCCAAGGCUGGGCACGCCCGUGCACAAGUGGUGGGGAGCCGGAUCCCGGGGGGAGGGAAAGACAGAAGUGCGGAGCCAGCAUGGAUAGUGUGUGUGUGUGUGUGUGUGUGGGGAGGGAUUAGCAAGGAUGAUGUGGGGGCAAGCGUGGCCUGGAACGGGAAGCCACCAUGGCCCAGGGUUGGGCGAACAGCUGGUGUGAAAGAUUCCUAUUCCGACGGGUGAUUUUCUGGGGUUGCCACUUGGAACUGAAGCUGUUCCUAGGAUGUCCCCCCCCACUCCGUCCUCAUGAAUAUUUAUCUGGACAGGUGACAAGAACCUGGUGGAAAGGUCUAAACCCAUGAAGCCAGUAUGGCAUUUACUGCACUUUCAUUGUUGUCUGUGAGCUGCUGUCAAAAGGUGGAACAAAAGUAAAUAAUACAGCCACAAACAUCUGGUAUAACACGCAUCUGAUGAUGUAACUGCUGUAAUUGCAUAUUCUUCCCCUGAUUACCCCUUCUUCGUUUCUGUUCCUUUCCUCUGUUGUCUCCCUUGUGUCUGUUUCUGGAUUGUAACUCCCUCGGGGCAGGGACCUGCCCUCGCAUUCUUUGUAAAGCAUGGUGCUUUAUGGUACAUGAGUGGUUUAUAAUAAAAAUAAGAACAAGUAGGCCGUCA